CGGAGUGCAUACCUUGAAGCCAUACCAUAUUCAUCUUCAGCUUAUCCUUACCCUAAGUUUUCUCAACUUCAAACUUUACCAAACCUAUCACCAUGUCUUCAUGCGGCAACUGUGACUGCGCUGACAAGAACAACUGCGCAAAGAAGGGCAGCAGCUACAUCCUCGACAUCGUUGAGACUGAGAAAAGCUUUGGGCUU